UCAGGGCGAAGAUGCGCACUGGAGAUGCGCGAAGAACGAAAACGGGUCUUUUCGCAGUUAUGGACUCUGGUGAACUGCGGUAUAUAUUAUUAACGCUGCGCAAUAAAGUACAGUCAGGUGCAACGGAGGUCUCUUUUCGUUAUGAGGAAAACUGCGGGGAGGGGGCUCCUAUCAUUCAUCAAGGAGAGCCAAGAAGAGCUUUGACAAAGAAAAAAUCACGCGGAAGAGUAUGGGAGCGAGAGGGGGUACAACCAAUCAAAUUGCGUUAUUCUCACGGGACUUGUGUUGAUCGGUGCACAGUACGUUGCACGAAGCUGUACUGACUGGCACCAUUUUGUUAUUAGUUUCAAAGUUUAAAUUACCGCCAGCUUAAAGGAACACGAGGUACACUGGAAAAUGAGCAUGGAUUUAUAUUCGAGUGAGUAAUUACAAUGAACUGCAUUGCCGUUUUCAUUGCCGAAAAUGCCGUUUUCUACAAUUGCAUACAACAAAGGUAA